rnacentral:rRNA from 1 species
AAUCAACGCUGGCGGCGUGCCUAACACAUGCAAGUCGAACGAGAAGGUGACUUCGGUCACUGGAUAGUGGCGUCCGGGUGAGUAACACGUAGGUAAUCUACCUUCGGGUGGGGAAUAACGUCUCGAAAGAGACGCUAAUACCGCAUAAUGCAGCGGCACCUAAUGGUGAUUAGUUGUUAAAGCGGGGGAGUCUUCGGACCUCGCGCCUGAAGAGGAGCCUGCGGCAGAUUAGCUAGUUGGUGAGGUAAUGGCUCACCAAGGCUUCGAUCUGUAGCUGGUCUGAGAGGACGGCCAGCCACACUGGCACUGACACACGGGCCAGACUCCUACGGGAGGCAGCAGUGGGGAAUUUUGGGCAAUGGGCGAAAGCCUGACCCAGCAACGCCGCGUGAAGGAGGAAAUCCUUCGGGAUGUAAACUUCAUAAGUAAGGGAAGAAAGCUGNGGAUCGAAUAAGUCCGCAGUCCGACGGUACCUUACGUAAGCCACGGCUAACUACGUGCCA